GAUCCUGCUCAUCAAGGACUGCUUGAGAAAAAGGAAAAGAGCAUUUUACAUAUUUAAACAUCAUGAUGCAGUAGCUGAUGUGUUUCAUUCUCAAUUCAAUAAACAGGGACUUAUUCAUGAAGUGUUAAUUACCACAAUAUUAUGUGGCUUGUCUAGUGCCAAAGUGACUAAGUCUUGAAAAUUGACCAGAAGGAAAGAACGGCUAAAUUUCCACAAUAUUACGUUGUUUAAUUAGUAUUGUGAACUUUGCUUUAAUGUUCUUUUGCAGUUAUAUCAUUCUUUGCUGCUCUUGGAUUUUUGUUGUAUGGUGGAAGGUUGUUUUUCUUGUCGAGGCGCUUCCCCAUUGAAUCCACAGGCUGUCUAAAGAAACUUUAUGAGGAUGACAUAGAGAAGUUGGUAUCUAAGUUAGUAGACAAGGUUUGUGCUCCGGAGGAAGGUUCUUGCAUUGAUGCUACAAUCCUUCCCCUACAUGGUUGUUUGCCCCUUGAAU